rnacentral:tRNA from 1 species
ACCUGGCUAGCUCAGUCGGUAGAGCAUGAGAUUCUUCAUCUCAGGGUCGUGGGUUUGAGCCCCUCGUUGGGCG